GCCGGUUGCUGAGGUAAAGAACUUGCCCUUCUUUUAGAGGGCUUAGAGAUUGAGGCAUUUCCUGUCAACAUGGAGCAAUUUCACUUUAAGGUGAAAUCUCUGUGAGGCCUAGGUCUCAUUUUAGCACAGUGGGGGCAAUCUUUGCGUGAAUGGGCACUCCCCAAGCAUUUGAGGCAGGUCUCAUGCCCAUUGGAGGUGGACAUGGCACCGCUGCAGAGCACGCAGCGUUUGAAGCUGGGAGAACUCAUACCGGCUUCAGUGCUGAAGUGGCCGUUCAAACCCUGCACUGCUUUCCUUUUUUUUUUUUUUUUUUUUUUUUUAAA